rnacentral:rRNA from 1 species
CUUCGGGGUGCCCAGGCGCGAAAACUUUACAAUGCUGGCAACAGCGAUAAGGGGACCUCGAGUGCCAGGAUACAAUCUUGGCUGUCGUGAUGCCUAAAAAGCAUUACAUAGCAAGGGCCGGGCAAGACCGGUGCCAGCCGCCGCGGUAACACCGGCGGCUCGAGUGGUAACCGCUAUUAUUGGGUCUAAAGGGUCUGUAGCCGGCCGGAUAAGUCUCUUGGGAAAUCCAGCAGCUCAACUGUUGGGCUUCCAGGGGAUACUGUUCGGCUCGAGGCCGGGAGAGGUGAGAGGUACUUCAGGGGUAGGGGUGAAAUCUUGUAAUCCUUGAAGGACCACCAGUGGCGAAGGCGUCUCACCAGAACGGUCCUGACGGCAAGGGACGAAAGCUAGGGGCACGAACCGGAUUAGAUACCCGGGUAGUCCUAGCCGUAAACGAUACUCGCUAGGUGUCGGCCACGGUGCGACCGUGGUCGGUGCCGUAGGGAAGCCGUGAAGCGAGCCACCUGGGAAGUACGGCCGCAAGGCUGAAACUUAAAGGAAUUGGCGGGGGAGCAC